rnacentral:piRNA from 2 species
UGAUGGAGGAGAUCGGGUUCCUGGU